rnacentral:rRNA from 1 species
AACGAACGCUGGCGGCAUGCCUAACACAUGCAAGUCGAACGACACCAUCGGGUCUUGUGGCGCGCGGGUGCGUGACGCGUGGGAAGCUACACUUAGGUUCGGAAUAACUCGCCGAGGGGGGUGCUAAUACCGGCUGAUUUAUUCGGACCAAAGAUUUAUCGCCUUUGGAUGGGCCCGCGUGGGAUUGGCUAGUUGGUAGGGUAAAAGCCUAUCAAGGCGACGAUUCGUACAUGGUCUGAGAGGAUGGUCAGCCACACUGGGACUGAGACACGGCCCAGACUCCUACGGGAGGCAGCAGUGGGGAAUAUUGGAAAAUGGGGUAAAGCAUGAUCCAGCAAUGCCGGGUGAGUGAUGAAGGCCUUAGGGUUGUAAAGCGCUUUUACCCGGGAUGAUAAUGACAGUACCGGGAGAAUAAGCUCCGGCUAACUCCGUG